rnacentral:lncRNA from 1 species
CCGCCAAGGAUCAGAGAAGGCUUCAGAGGUGAAUCAGUGAGGAGAGGUUCCUGAGAGACGAACGGGCGUCGGAGGAGUUAUGUGCAGCACAACUGGGACGCGCUGGAGCACGUGACACAAGGCACUGUGUCACAGAAUCCCCAGACAUACAGCCUGUUGCAAGGGUGCAGAGGACUCAUGCUCCGGCUAGUCCCCACGCAGGCUCCAGACCCAGCUAUGAGGCCAAACUGUGUGAACAAAUGGUGCUGAUGGACCAGGGGCAAGACGGAAUCUCCUUAGACAGGCAGGCCAAAGGGUCUGUCCACUGACUUGCCAGCUUUUCCCAGGAGCUUCAGCUGCCUCGUGUAUGGCUGUGUCCUCUCUUGAAGCCCCUCCCUCCCCACUGCUGAUAUAACAGCAUGAAAUUAAACCUAUUCCAGUCUGUGACAUCUGAUCCCUUUGACAUGACAUAGUACAACCUGUAGAGCCAGAGGUGGGGGCCAGGAAGCCCUGUUCUAGUCUCUCUGCACAACC